UUGUAUUUAUGCACUUAUAUAGUAAUCGAAAUGUCAUCCAUAAGUAUGUUAAUUUUUUUUUCAUUAUUAUUUAUUAUCACCGCGCUAUUUUUAUCCCGAUAAAUAUUUUAAAAUAAUUUAUUAUUACGUCAGGGCCAGUAAUUUAACCAUUUAAUAAAAGCGAUUAUUGGAGUUUAUUAAAAUCCUUGAUAAUACGUCUGUUCGAGGUCUGGAUCCAUAUGAGGUUUGGAAGAUUAGUUAUAUAUGAAAAAUUCUCCUAUGACACACACUGUACUCCCACGCAGUUCUUAACAUUUUAUUUCUGUUGAUAUAAUAUUAUAUCUUGGCGUUCCCACUAUAGCUUCAGCAACUUUUAUAUUAUAAACGGUUUUCAAUAUUAUUUAUUGCGUAAUAUUAUACUCCAAUUCGCAUUGAGGCGCUGUCAUUUAUCGGUUAUUAAUCGUUAUUGCGUUAGAAGUAAGACGGAAGAUAUUAUUUUUGUUUGUAUGAACAAGUGAGAAAAGAGAUGCUAGGCACACCUUGGCCAAGAUUAUAUUCUUUCGGCUAUACUUAAUGUACA